rnacentral:rRNA from 1 species
AUGCCGCCUCCCAGUGCUCCCUCCUCUUACUGCGCGAUAGCCCUUGCCCUCCUCUCUCUUUGGUCCCCUUCGCGCCUCCUCGCGGCAGUCGCAGCCAAGGAGCCCGAGCUCGGUGGUGACGGAUCGGAAGGCAGCGUCGGCGCUGGACUGGGAAUGGUGGAGCCGCCACCGUCUCCACUCGCCGGGAACUGGCCAGAUCCGCCCCACGAGCUUCACAGGUGCCACCCCCUCCGCCACUAG